UCGUGGAUUGAUUUGUCUGGUUAAUUCCGAUAACGAGCGAGAUCUUGACCUACUCGUUAGCUGCGCAUGGCCAAUUUGGUCAUGUCUUUGCAGCUUCUUAGCGGGACAGCUGGCGUUCAGCCAGAGGAAGUUCGAGACAAUAACA
rnacentral:rRNA from 1 species